rnacentral:rRNA from 1 species
CCUACGGGUGGCAGCAGUGAGGAAUAUUGGUCAAUGGACGAGAGUCUGAACCAGCCAAGUAGCGUGAAGGAUGACUGCCCUAUGGGUUGUAAACUUCUUUUAUAUGGGAAUAAAACGUUCCACGUGUGGGAUUUUGUAUGUACCAUAUGAAUAAGGAUCGGCUAACUCCGUGCCAGCAGCAGCGGUAAUACGGAGGAUCCGAGCGUUAUCCGGAUUUAUUGGGUUUAAAGGGAGCGUAGAUGGAUGUUUAAGUCAGUUGUGAAAGUUUGCGGCUCAACCGUAAAAUUGCAGUUGAAACUGGCAGUCUUGAGUACAGUAGAGGUGGGCGGAAUUCGUGGUGUAGCGGUGAAAUGCUUAGAUAUCACGAAGAACUCCGAUUGCGAAGGCAGUUCACUGGACUGCAACUGACACUGAGGCUCGAAAGUGUGGGUAUCAAACAGGAUUAGAUACCCGUGUAGUC